rnacentral:rRNA from 1 species
UACGUAGGGGGCAAGCGUUGUCCGGAUUUAUUGGGCGUAAAGAGCGUGUAGGCGGCUUGGAAGGUCAGCUGUGAAAACUCGAGGCUCAACCUCGAGACGUCGGUUGAAACCACCUGGCUAGAGUCCGGAAGAGGAGAGUGGAAUUCCCGGUGUAGCGGUGAAAUGCGCAGAUAUCGGGAAGAACACCCGUGGCGAAGGCGGCUCUCUGGGACGGUACUGACGCUGAGGCGCGACAGCGUGGGGAGCAAACAGG